GGUGAUUGUCUGUUGCCUGAUAACCAAAGGCAACAGCAAGUUCCAGGAAUGAAGGUUGGGCUUGGUUUCAAUUUCAUCAUUAAUAGAACAGAUGGUUGCCUUUGAGCCCUGAACCAAAGACUCAUUGCAACCGUGGGUGUUGAGAGCAGGUCUCUACCAACAUACAGCAUGAGGCAGCCCACAUCUACCCUUGAGGAUUGAUGUCACACACUAUGGGGUCUUUGUUUAAACCUGUCUCCCUAGAAUGGUAGUUUUCUGUGGAUUAGCUUUCUGUAUUUGUAUAAAAUUAUUCUAAAAUUUAAAGAGAAAAGUGAUGAGAUAAAAAUAUUGCAGGUCUUCUGCUGGUAUUUCAACCUUUCAGAUCUAAACACUCUGAAGUAGACAGUCUUUCUGAAUUGAGGAUAUGAAGACUGGCUGUAUACAGGCUGGGGCCAGGUACAUUCUGUAGCCCUGUAGUGAGUUGCAUUUUCCUGAUUUUUAUCUCUAGUAAGACUUCACUGAAAGUCAAAUGAAAGCAGAGAUUAUAGUUUUGCUGAUUUUCAUAUUUUUUAGUCACAAAAUCCCUUGUUAUCUAUAUUUUCUGAGUUUCUGUGGUUUUCUAGAAAACAUGGGUUUUGAAGUGAAUUUUUCCCCAAAUAUAAACUUCAGUACUUUUCUAAAAUUAAAAUAGAGGAGGAAAAAUGGAUUUUUACAAUCAGUUUUUCUUCCACUUAAUUAAUAAUUGAAGUGAUUCUGUAAUAAACUUCAAAGUCUAAGGUAGACUUGGUUUUCCCAUAUGAGAUCUUGGUAAAUAUUAGUUUUUAAAUGGUGCCGUUUAAAAUUAACAUUUAUUAGAUGUCAUCAAAUUCUUAGCAUAUAUUGAUCAUGGCAUUGCUGAGACUCCACAACUUUUUAAAGCACCCAAAUCCAUGUAUUCAGUAUUAUGACAGCUGCCUGCAGGUACAAUAACAUGUGUUAGCCAAGUGUGUCCUUUCUAGAGUCUCAGUCCAGUAGAGACUUGAGCUGUCUGUUGCUUUUGUCCUCAGAAUAAGUUUCCCAUAAAUCUCAUCUAAAAAGCAUGGUUCAAAUGCCUUUGUUCCUUUUUAUGAGAAGUAAGUCAUAAGGCACAGUUUUGCCUCCAUUAGAAUUUGUGCACGUGGAUUCAACAGCCCUUACUGACUGGCCAGACUGAAUGAGUAUUUGUUUCUUAGAAUCUGAAGUGAAGCUUUGUCCAGGUCUGGUAGGCAGUGAGAUUUAUCUGAGGCAUAAUUCUUGUUGCUAAAUAAAAACAAAAGUUUGAGACAAAUGAAAAGUCUGCAUUUACACUCUGGAAAAUGUUGUGUUCUAGUGGUAAGAGUUUCACUCAUGAACUUAAUGUUAUCAUUAAUCAACAUAACAAGCUUACAAGUAAAACAAGUUCCAGGGAACAUAGCAUGUGGCAGUGUCUAAGUACAUGUGUGAGCUGGGCACUGUAGAAAGAAGGCCAGAGACACACUUGCUUUAUCUUCCAAGUGGAACCUGGAGUAUUCCAGUGAUUUAUUUUUGUAUUAUCUUAGAGGUGGACAUAAAAAUGUAUAUUUCAGUAAACAGUGCAUGCGCAAUAGAUUUUUAAGAACAUUUUAUUUCUGAUUUUAGCCUAAAAAUACAUACUCAAAAACACUUCUACCAACAAGACUUAAAAUCACAGAAUCAAGACUGAUUUAAUAUCACACACUUCUGUUACAUAAUUAAACUAUUUCUUAACGACAACAGUAUUUUACAGGCAGUCUCUUGUCAGUUCUAAGCUCAGCUUGACAGUGUUGCCACACCGCCCUGCCUCUGGGACUUCAAGUGUCAUUCCUUAAACACCAAGGUCAUUGCUUAGAGUUGUAUAUAAGAUACCAUGUAACCCACUCAUGGUAAGUGUUGGAAGCAUUGCCUUUUGCUGCUCUGUUCUGCAUUGACCCCAGUUUUGCCCUCCUCCCAUGAAUGUAGUAUUAUUCAUAGAUUAUACAUAACUACAUGUAUUGCUUUUGGCAGUAAAUCAAGUUCUAGUUGUAAUUUUCCAGCUGUGAAAAUGUUGCCUUGUAUUUAAAAUGGUUUCACGAGUGGAAACCUAAGUAAAUAAGCUCAUUAGUGACAAACCUGCUUCUUCAUGUCCCCCUUUCCCAUCUCACCACUCCUCCUGCAUCCUGCUUCCCGCCCCGAUGUGAGUGCUUAUUCUUAACAAGGAGAAUCUUUU
rnacentral:lncRNA from 1 species